GGCUAUAUUGCUCACUUGGUAAAGCACGGCACUCUUAAUUUCAGGGUCAUGGGUUUGAGCCCCAUGUUGGGCA